rnacentral:lncRNA from 1 species
UACGGGCAUGCGCCACCACCCCUGGCCAGUACCUCAGUCUUCAAGGACUUUUGUGCUGUGGUGCCGGCGGUGGAAUCCAGGGCCUUGCACAUGCUAGGCAAGCACUCCACCACUGAGCCACAAAGGCUUUUGUGAUUCAUGACAUCAUUUGCCAGUCUUAAAAUUUCAUGAAAUAGGAGUGUGCCAGUGGGCAUCACUUCCAUUUACCACACGAGGAAAUGAGGCACGUUGGGGGGCAGAACGGGGGCCAGAACGGUAGUCUCUGGACUCUAACUCCUUUCCUGACUGAGGAAGGGCGAGGGACGGGAAGUUAGGCUGGGUUUCAGGUACCCUAAGGAAGGAGCGGGUGCUCUUACCCAGGGGAACCUACAGCUCCCCAGAGCAGGCAGGGACAUGAAGGAGCAUAAGCCAUCCCCUUAUGUCGCAAAGCAAACAGCCCAGGAAGUCAGGAGCUGCCCUAGGCCACAGGGUCAGUGAGUGACCGCAGAGGGAGGAGCCCUGGCCCUGCAGAGUGGUCUAAGUCACCUGUGGACCUUUGUUCUCCAGGGCCUGGGUGUGGACGGAUCCAUCAGCAGAUGUCUGUGAGACCUCUGGUGAGUCACUUUGUUUUUAUUUAUGAGCAGCAAUGCUCAGUUCCCUGGCCAGAUGUGUGUCGGGAAGUAUGGACCAUGCUGUUGGGUCAGUGUUCAGUGGGGUUUAAAUGAGAUGAUACACACAAAGUUCUCACUUGAACAGUGCCUGGCCCACAGUAAGUCCCCCUCAAGUGGUGGCAGAUACUAUGAUUUAGAGUUUGAACAUUCAAACACUAUUUGUCUAUACAAGUAUGGCUAACUAUGCUCUCACCCUUCAAAGGAAGCCAUUCUUCAGGUCUCAGCAUGAAGCUGUUGAGCAGUCUGGAUUGUUCCACAGCCCGAGAAGCGCGCCUCUUUGAUUUAAUUGACCUUGAGCCACCCUCAAGUCCAUUCUCCGAGUCUGGAGCCAGGAGGACCCCAUCUGCUCUGCAGCCUGCCAGGGACCUGUCUUCAGCAGCUGACUCUAUUCCCUGGCUCUGGCUCGUGGCCCCAGAUUACUAGGGAUCUGAACACCAAGAGGGGCUCGUCGCUGCCCACUGACGGAUGACUGAGAACAGGUGGGUCCUGAAAGCCAGCCAGAGCCUAUUUAUGGUGAGGCAAAGCCAAUCCAAGCCAAGAUUCUGGAGACACUAAAGAGAACAUUCCUACCUCCAUUUCUGUCUGCUGGGAAGGCUGGGCACAGGUAACAGGCAGAAUAAGGUGAGCCUUUAGUGAAAGCCAGCCAACACACUGGAAAUGGACCCUUUAUAAAAGCAGUUAAGAGCAACCCAGGAGACAUGGGACACUGACACAGGAGGAUCUCAGGGGCUCCACAGCACAGGCCCUCCCCGUUUGUUUUUGCCCGGGAUCAGUCUUUCAUAAAAUAAGUCCAGCAAGCCGGGCACAGUGGCGCAGGCCUGUAAUCCCAGUGGCUCAGGAGGCAGAGGCAGGGGGAUUGCAAGUUUAAAGCCAGCCUCAGCAACUUAGCAAGGCCCUGUCUCUAAAUAAAAUAUAAAAAGGGCUGGGGAUGUGGCUCAGUGGUCAAGUGUCCCUGGGUUCAAUUCCAUAUGAAAUAUAUAUAUAUAUAUGUGUGUGUGUGUGUGUGUGUAUACAUCUCCAGCAUACCCUCCCCCAGCCCUCCCUUCCCCUCCUCUGAGGUGACACCUUGUGACUUUGCUGAGGCGGCCUGUGCAUAUGCAAACACACAGCUCACGUGUCAGUACUCUCCUUUCUCUGCCUUUCUUGGAUCACAGAGUCUCCCGGAGGUGCUGAUUAAAGCUCUGUGUUCUGAUGCAGAGAUUAGAUGGCUCCUGCCCAAGGAUGACACACAAAUUUGUGACAUAGUCCACAUUUUUGUGAGAAAACAAAAACAAAAAAACACUCUGGGUUCUUUCCCUGAAAUAGGGCCACGUGAAAGUAUUGACAGCUUCAGGGGUUCACACAUAACUCAUUUAUUCUCCUCAGGAAGGUAUUCUGGUUGUGGCUUACAGCAUCUGGGGCUGAUCUACACUGGAUCUCCUUAAACCCUGUCCCUCUUCCCCACCAUGUCUCCUACCCUCUGGGAUCUUGAGAGGAUUCCAACCAAGCACCUCCUUUAAGUCCUUGACAAGACAGCUAAAGUGAGGAGACAGCUAUUUAACACCUUCUUUCAAUAGCUUUUCAUUAUAUUUAGAAUAAAAUAAAACAUAAAUUCGGGCUGGGGAUGUGGCUCAAGCGGUAGCGCGCUCGCCUGGCAUGCGUGCGGCCCGGGUUUGAUCAGCACCACAUACAAAGAUGUUGUGUCCGCCAAAAACUAAAAAAUAAAUAUUAAAAAAUUCUCUCUCUCUCUUAAAAAAAAAAAAAAACAUAAAUUCUUUUUGUUUGUUUAUCUGUGGUGCUGGGGAUCAAAUCCAGGGCCUCACUUGUUAAAAACAUGCUCUGUCAUUGAGCUUCGCUCCCAGCCCCAUCCCUAAUGAUGCUUCGGGUUUUGUUUUGGUAUUUGUUUCCUUGUGUUACUGGGGAUUGAACUCAGGAGUGCUCUACCACUGAGCCAAGUCCCCAGCCCUUUUAAUUUUUUGAGACAGGCUCUUGCUAAGUUGUUGAGGCUGGCCUCAAACUUGUGAUCCUCCUGCCUCAGCUUCCCAAGUAGCUGGGACUACAGUGCAUACCACCACGCCCAGCUGAAGUUCUUCCCAUGACCUAGAAGGCCUCCUGCCUGACCUCGCCCAUCACUGCUCAUCAUCGAUCAUGUCAAAUCCAGUUCCAGCCAGGCAGGGUGGCACAGGCCUGUGAUCCCAGGCAUGGGAUGGGGAAGCUGAUGCAGGAGAAUCACAGAUUUCAAGCCAGCCUCAGCAAUUUAGCGAGGCCCUAAGCUACUUACUGAGAACCUGUCUCAGAAAAUAAAAAGGGCUGAGGAUGUGGCUCAGUGGAAAAGCACUGCUUUUAAUCCCCAGGACCCAAAACAAACAAACAAACAAACAAAACCAAAAUCCAGUCCCACCUCAGGGUCAUUGCUUAAUUUGUUCCCUCUGCCUGAAAGGCUAUUUCCCCUGCCGGUUGCUUUGCUGGCUCUUCGGGUCAUUCAGAUGUCAGUGCAAAUGUCAUUCCUCUGAGAGGCCAUUCCUAACCCUCAAAAUGCUGCUCUCCACCCCGAGCACCCUUUCUAAUAUCCCCUUUUAUUUUUACUUUGCCCCCUUGGGGACACCUGCCACUUCUGAAAAUACCUUACAUUGUCAGUCAUUUCCGGUUUAUCUUCACUGUUAGGCAUCAUGCUGCGCAGUAGCCUCCUUGCCUGCCACAUCUCAGCACCUGGACAGGGCCUGGCACGCACUGGGCACCCAGCCAGUAGCCGUGGAAUAAAGGACCCUAGUGGGGAUCCGAGGAGAAUCUCAAUCCUGUGACCGACCACAGGUGGCUGACGGCAGUCCCUAGCUCCUGACCCAGGCGGAGGUCCUGCCUCAUUCCUCUGUUGCCUAGCCUGCCCUCUUCCCACGUCUCUGGAGCCACUCCCUCCCAAUCAGCAUCUAACAAAAACUCUUUUGUGAUGUAGGCCUGGGGGAUUCUAUCUGAGUCAGUUGGCCUCUGCAGCUGCAGCUCAGCUGAGUCCAAAGGUCUGCUCAGCGUUUCCAGUGAAACAGCCAGCAACCCUGCGGUCUGAGGGCUAGAGCUCCACCCAGGGGAGCCUCUGCUCCUGGCCUGUUCAGUCCAGGGUCUUGGGGAUAAAUGCUGACCAACAAAAUAGGAAAAGUAAAGCUAUUUAUUCUGAGCGUGCAGUAGCAAGCUGUCACUUGCUACAAAAUUCACAGUCACUUGAAUUUCGGCAGAGAUCCAAAGGUGGUUCAAGGAGUGAGAAGGAUUUCUGGUGGAAAAGGGAGGCCUCAGGUGUGCCCUGAUUAGAGGCUGUGGGCCUGGAAGACCCAGGCAUGCUACCAGAAAGGGAGGCAUCCCUGUGUGAUUAUCAAGGGUGUGUCUUCUGCUUUCUCUGCUUGCUCCUAAAUUGCAAGGGAGGAUACAAAUUAGGGAAACUGUCAGUUAUUAAUCAAGUUCUGGUCAUUUGGGGCUGAUUGUUUUAUAGAGUUUAUUGCUUUGCUUCCUCAACUCUCACUGGCAAUCUGGCCUCUUUCUAGUCUGACUUCCUCUGUAUUUUAUUUAUUUAGUUAGUUAGUUUUGGGCUGUACUGGGGAUUGAACCCUGUGCCUCACCCAUGCUAUGCAAGUGCUCUAUCCCUGAGUUAUGUCCACAUCCCUUUUGAGACAGGGUCUCACUAAAUUGCCUGGACUGGCCUUGAACUCCUGGGAUCAAGUGAUCCUCCUGCAUAGCUGAGACUACAGGCACACACCACCACAACUGGGUGAGGGUUCUAUUUUUAUUUAUUAUUAUAAAUUUUCAGUAUGGGGAACCCAGAGCCUUGUAUAUGCUAAGCAUAUAUUCUCACCACUGAGCCACAUCCCCAGCCCCAAGAGUUCUAAUUUUUUUUUUAAUUGUUGAUAGAUCUUUAUUUUAUUUAUUUGUUUAUAUGUGGUGCUGAGGAUCGAACCCAGUGCCUCACACAUGCCAGGCAAGUACGCUACUGCUGAGCCACAGCCACACCCAAGUUCUAAUUUUUUUAUGUUUAUUUUUUAGUUAUAGGUAGACACAAUAUCUUUAUUUUUAUUUUAAUGUGGUGCUGAGAUUCAAACCCAGUGCCUUACACAUGUUAGGGAGUGCUCUACCUUUGAGCCACAACCCCGCCCAAGAGUUCUAUUAUUUUUUUUUUUUAGAUGUUGAUGGAUCUUUAUUUUAUUCAUUUAUUUAUAUGUAGUGCGGAGGAUCAAACCCGUGCCUUGCACAUGCUAGGCAAGCGCUCUACCACUGAGCCCCAGCCCCAGCCCCAAGAGUUCUAUUUUUAUAUAUGGGCCGGCCACCAUUCAUUUGUACAUCCAGUUUCUUAGUCUACAUGGAUCUGUGAGACACACAGGACGUGUGAAAGGGCUUUGUGUAUUGUGCAGGUUCUAGUGUGAGGGAAGGCCGUGGGAACCUGAUGGAGAGGGCCUGUCUCAUCAAGAUGAGGAGACUGACUGUCAGCACUGGGUAGUGACAGUAACAAAACCAGCAUUUAGUGAGUGUGAGUCACUGCCUUGAGCCUUCAUAGAACCCCCACAAUAAUCCUAAGAAGUAGUUAUUAUUAAUAUCUUCAUUUUUUACAGAUGAGGAAACUGAGG